AGCAAUGGAGCGGAUUGAACAAAAAAAAUCUCUGCAAUGGAUAAGCCUCAAGAGGUUCGAUCUAGAAACCAACAGAAACCAACGACAACAACCAAAACAACAUUGAAACAGACCCCGUCUCCAGAAAACUGCGAGUUGAAGAUCGGAAAUAUCUGUUAUUCUGCUUUGAUACAAAUUAAAUUGAACGUCGACGACAACAAAGCAGUUGAUAUUUGUAAGAAACGUAACGCGGAUGUUGGUUCGAUCCGAAAUGAAGAAUCUUACAAUGCGAUUAUGAAAUACUUGAAGAAGAAGAUUCCAAAAAGACUAUCACAUAUUAGUAUAUGGACAGGAAUUAAGUUUUGAUCCAAUGACCCGUGACGUCACACCUGCAGAUUCAUUCAUUAAAUGGCAAGGCUUUCCACUCAUUGGAAUUGAUUAUAAAGAUUACACAAAUGUUUAUCUCUCUGUUGAUUCCAACUCGAGAUUGCAAGGGAUGGAAAAUACUUAUCCUACCUGGGGGCAUGUUAGAGUUCCCCUCCGGCGAUUUCAUGGAGUUAUAUGUGAGAUCCAGAUCUUAUAAACGUCUGUCUGGUUGUAUUUCUAUCAUCAGUGAAAUAUAAAUCAUUCAAUCCCAAUUUGAAAUUGAUGUCGAAAAUUUAUCAAGAGUUUGAAUAAAAAUAGCGAACAUUCUACAACAAUAAAGUUCAGUUAUUUACAUAGUGUUAUCUGUCAGAUUGUUUCGUUUUACCAGUCUGAUUACUUUGCAUUAUGAAAAUAUGGUGGUGAAAUUCAGAGAUUUUGAUGUUUAAUUUACGCUAUUUUAAAAACUCGAAAAUGAAAAAUAUA